rnacentral:rRNA from 1 species
UUCAGGGGUAAACCUGAGAAACCCGAAAGGUCGAAAGGGGAGAUUCAGCGUGUCUCGAUCGUGGCGCUGGACGGUCGUGCGACGGACGGCGUACGCGUCGUUCGCGCCUUUCGUUCUCCGAACUGCGUUCGAACGCGUGCACUUCUCCCCCUGUAGGACGUCGCGAUUCGUUGGGUGCCGGCCUAAGGCCCGAGGUGGAGUUCGUCCGGACGUUUCGGCGUUCGUGACGAACCCUCGGUGUUUCCCGGUCGGCUCGCUCGACGAUAUACAGAUGGCGCGGGGCCGCUACAUUUGAGUUAGCGUUCGACCUUCGGCAAGCGCGCUCCUCGCGACGGUGAUCGGACCCGGUGCCGGUCCCGUCCCCGGGCGACUGUUGGCCGAGGUGUUCUCGAACAGACCUCGUCGAAACGCCGAUCUGCGACGCUAUAGCUUUGGGUACUUUCAGGACCCGUCUU